CAGGCUCGGCCCACGCUCCUCCCCCACCAACAUCAGCCGGAGGGGGAGACCUAAAGCGCAUGUGGGGCAAUGGCCGUGCUCGCAUUAGGAUUUCCCCAUAGGAAAGCAUUAAUCAAUGCUGUACUAUGGGGAUUCUGGUGAAGCUGGAAGUCCUCAUGCAUAGCGUGAGGGCGUCCAGGCAACCAAGAGUUGUCUAAACAGCCAGAAGUCCCUCUAGUUGCUGUCUGGUAGACAGCCACUACAGGAGGAGUUAACCCUAGCAGGUAAUUAUUGAAGUUUCUUAGAAACUGCAAUAAUUACCACUGUAGGGUUAAGGGACAUGGGACAUUUCUCGCAAACCACUUCAAUGAGCUGAAAUGGUCUGGGUGCCUACAGUGUCCCUUUAACUAAAGUGAGAAAUCAAAUGUGAAUUUCAAAUUUUAGGUCCAAGUGGCAGAACUGGUAGCAUAGCUGAUUACGAUAUUUUUUUCAAUUUAGCUGUUUUUACCUUAAAUGUGAAAUUUAUUUUUAAUUCACCUUGAAUUCU